rnacentral:rRNA from 1 species
AACGAACGCUGGCGGCAUGCCUAACACAUGCAAGUCGAACGAGACCUUCGGGUCUAGUGGCGCACGGGUGCGUAACGCGUGGGAACCUGCCCUUAGGUUCGGAAUAACUCCCCGAAAGGGGUGCUAAUACCGGAUAAUGUCUUCGGACCAAAGAUUUAUCGCCUUUGGAUGGGCCCGCGUUGGAUUAGCUAGUUGGUAGGGUAAAAGCCUACCAAGGCGACGAUCCAUAGCUGGUCUGAGAGGAUGAUCAGCCACACUGGGACUGAGACACGGCCCAGACUACUACGGGAGGAAGCAGUGGGGAAUAUUGGAAAAUGGGCGAAAGCCUGAUCCAGCAAUGCCGCGUGAGUGAUGAAGGCCUUAGGGUUGUAAAGCUCUUUUACCCGGGAUGAUAAUGACAGUACCGGGAGAAUAAGCUCCGGCUAACUCCGUG